rnacentral:rRNA from 1 species
CCUACGGGAGACAGCAGUGGGGAAUAUUGGGCAAUGGGCGCAAGCCUGACCCAGCAACGCCGCGUGAAGGAAGAAGGCUUUCGGGUUGUAAACUUCUUUUAAGAGGGAAGAGCAGAAGACGGUACCUCUUGAAUAAGCCACGGCUAACUACGUGCCAGCAGCAGCGGUAAUACGUAGGUGGCAAGCGUUGUCCGGAUUUACUGGGUGUAAAGGGCGUGUAGCCGGGCUGACAAGUCAGCUGUGAAAUCCCGUGGCUCAACCACGGAACUGCAUUUGAAACUGUCGGUCUUGAGUAUCGGAGAGGCAGGCGGAAUUCCUUGUGUAGCGGUGAAAUGCGUAGAUAUAAGGAGGAACACCAGUGGCGAAGGCGGCCUGCUGGACGACAACUGACGGUGAGGCGCGAAAGCGUGGGGAGCAAACAGGAUUAGAUACCCCAGUAGUC